AAAUUUUCAGAUGAAUCGGACAACCUGUUGUUGGGUUGCUGUCCCUGAAUAGGUGAUUUUAGAGAAAUUUUGCUGUUUUUUGGUUAUUAUCUUGAAUAUUAUUAUAGAUAGAGAUAAACUGUAAACAGCAAUAAUAUUCAGCAAAGUAAGAUUUACAAAUAAGUCACCAUGACCAAAAUGGUCAGUUGACCCCUUUAGGAGUUAUUACCCUUUCUAGUCAAUUUUUAACAAUUUUUCGUAAAUCUUAGCAAUCUUUUACAAAAAUCUUCUCCUCUGAAACUACUGGGCCAAAGUAAUCCAAACUUGGCCACAAUCAUUUUUGGAGUAUCUAGUUUAAAAAAUGUGUCUGAUGACCCGGCCAUCCAACCAAGAUGGCUGAUAUGGCUAAAAAUAGAACAAAGGGGUAAAAUGUAAUUUUUGGCUUAUAACUCAAAAACGAAAGCAUUUAGAGCAAAUCUGACUGCGUAAAAUUGUUUAUCAGGUCAAGAUCUAUCUGCUCUGGAAUUUUCAGAUGAAUCGGACAACCCGUUAUUAGGUUGCUGCCUCUGAAUAGGUAAUUUUAGGGAAAUUUUGCUGUUUUUGGUUAUUAUCUUGAAUAUUAUUAUAGAUAGAGAUAAACUGUAAACAGCAAUAAUGUACAGCAAAGUAACACCUAAAAAUAAGUCAACAUGACCAAAAUGGUCAAUUGACCCCCUAAGGAGUUAUUGUCCUUUAUAGUCAAUUUUUAACAAUUUUCAAAAAAUUUGUUAAUUUUUACUAACAUUUUCCACCUGAAACUACUGGGCCAAGUUCAUUAUAGAUAGAAAUAAUUGUAAGCAGCAAGAAUGUUCAGUAAAGUAAAAUGUACAAACACAUCACCAUCACCAAAACACAAUUUUGUCAUGAAUCCAUCUGUGUCCUUUGUUUCAUAUUCACAUAAACCAAGGAGAGUGACACAGGCUCUUCAGAGCCUCUAGUUAUGUUUUUAUGUUAACCUGUUUGGCCCUUUUCAAGGUGUUGUUAACUGCUAAUUUCAGGUAAACUAAAGCUGUUAACUGUUUUCAACCCACUUUGUUAACUGUAAUCAGCAUUUUUGCAUGUUU
rnacentral:lncRNA from 1 species